UAUUGCACAGUGGGCGCAAGCCUGAUGCAGCCAUGCCGCGUGUGUGAAGAAGGCCUUCGGGUUGUAAAGCACUUUCAGUCAGGAGGAAAGGUUAGUAGUUAAUACCUGCUAGCUGUGACGUUACUGACAGAAGAAGCACCGGCUAACUCCGUGCCAGCAGCCGCGGUAAUACGGAGGGUGCGAGCGUUAAUCGGAAUUACUGGGCGUAAAGCGUACGCAGGCGGUUUGUUAAGCGAGAUGUGAAAGCCCCGGGCUCAACCUGGGAACUGCAUUUCGAACUGGCAAACUAGAGUGUGAUAGAGGGUGGUAGAAUUUCAGGUGUAGCGGUGAAAUGCGUAGAGAUCUGAAGGAAUACCGAUGGCGAAGGCAGCCACCUGGGUCAACACUGACGCUCAUUACGAAA
rnacentral:rRNA from 1 species